rnacentral:rRNA from 1 species
UACGGGGGGAGCAAGCGUUGUUCGGAUUUACUGGGCGUAAAGGGCGCGUAGGCGGCCACCGCAAGUCGACUGUGAAAUCUCCGGGCUUAACCCGGAACGGUCAGCCGAUACUGCAGGGCUAGAGUGCAGAAGGGGCAACUGGAAUUCUCGGUGUAGCGGUGAAAUGCGCAGAUAUCAGGAAGAACACCCGUGGCGAAGGCGGCUCUCUGGGACGGUACUGACGCUGAGACGCGAAAGCGUGGGGAGCGAACAGG